CCCUUAGAUGUUCUGGGCCGCACGCGUGCUACACUGAGUGGAUCAGCGGGUCAGGUUGCGCGAAAGUGUUUCCUAAUCUUUAAAUCCGCUCGUGAUGGGGAUUGACGGUUGCAAUUUUCCAUCAUGAACGAGGAAUACCUUGUAAGCGCGGGUCAUCAUCCCGCGCUGAAUACGUCCCUGCCCUUUGUACACACCGCCCGUCGCUCCUACCGAUUGAGUGGUCCGGUGAGGCUUUGGGAUCUGAGCGGAAAGAGCGUUUCGCUGUUUCUGCCCGGAAAACUCAGUCGAACCUUAUCAUUUAGAGGAAGGAGAAGCCGUAACA
rnacentral:rRNA from 1 species